rnacentral:lncRNA from 1 species
AUGAAACUUUCUUCGUUUUUUGUGCUCAUUCCUCUUUUUAUCAGCGGCGUUUCUGGGAAACUGAUUCAAGCCGCUGCAGGAGAUGAUGUAAAGGUUCCCCUCACAGAGGAGUGCAUGAAAGGAAGAGGCACGCUGAAACGUCGCCUGCAGGACAACAGCCUUCAAUCAGUCGGGGAUCUCGACGGCAGCUGGAAGCCGGCUCCAGGGCGAGGAUGCCAUCCUCCCGUGCCGCUCCAUCACAGCAGGUCAGUGGGUGAAGUCUGUGCGCUGGAGGAGAGAUGGAGAGGUGGUGCUGGAUGUCCGGUCGGGGAAAACCACAUAUGGGAACGGCUUUGAUGAAAGCCGGUGUUGUGCCCAAAAGUGAUCGUCUGCCAGAAACUGAUUGCCGUCCGCGGGAGCGCGCACAGCUGCUUAAAGCUGCAGCGCCCGGAUUAAGUGCGUUGCCAGCUACUUCCGUGCAACUGACAUAACGUGGGGGAAACAACCCAAAGACAUUAAUGCCUUUCUUAUUAGGCAAAGGUCUGCAUUUAUGGAACUUUAACGUUUAUAUAACCGAAUUAUGACGUUUAUCAGAAGGUUGCUUUCAGUGUGUAGCGCAGUCACGAAUGACUACACGCAUCACGAUGGAAUAAUUAAUGCCCACAGGUUCAGUAUCUCUACUCUCGUUGUUCAUAUUUGAUAUAAGACUGUCGAAUAGUAGUUAAAACAAUAAAGACCUAUUGUACCAGUAUCACCAUGACUCUGUCUUGUUUGUUCAGAAUAACGACUGAGAACAUGGCAUUUUAGCGCUACCGAAAAGUCAUUGUGGCCUAUAACUUGUCACUGAAACAAUAUUUCAGCUUCAAACUUGUUGGAUAUAUUCCCGAAUGGUUACACGUGAUAUAUUAUAUCCCAAAAACUCUCCAAGAACUGCUGAAUACCUUUUAAAAGAACAUUAAUACCGAUAAUAUGUAAUUUUCAACCUGCCAAAAAGUGAUUGUGGCCUAUAUCUUGUCACUGAAACAAUAUUUCUGCUUCAAACCUGUUGGAUAUAAUCCAAAAGGAUCAUAUGUGACACAUUAUAUCCCAAUCAGUCUCUAAGAAAUGCAGAAUAACUUUUAAAGGAACAAUAAUACUCAUAAUGUGCCAUUUUCGACCUGCCAAAAAGUGAUUGUGGCCUAUAUCUUGUCACUCAAACAAUAUUUCUGCUUCACAAUUGUUGGGUAUCAUCCGAAAGGAUCAUAUGUGGCACAUCAUAUCCCAAACAGUCUCUAAGAAAUGCAGAAUAACUUUUAAAGGAACAAUAAUACCGAUAAUAUGCCAUUUUUGACCUGCCAAAAAGUGAUUGCUGCCUAUAUCUUGUCACUGAAACAAUAUAUCUAUUUCAAACUUGCAGGAUUUCAUUCAGAAGUGUUAAAUGUGACAUAUUAUAUCCCACACAGUCUCUAAGAAAUGCAGAAUAACUUUUAAAAUAACAUUAAUACCGAUAAUAUGUCAUUUUCGACCUGCCAAAAAGUGAUUGUGGCCUAUAACUUGUCACUGAAACAAUAUUUCUGCUUCAAACCUGUUGGAUAUAAUCCAAAAGGAUCAUAUGUGACACAUUAUAUCCCAAUCAGUCUCUAAGAAAUGCAGAAUAACUUUUGAAGGAACAAUAAUACCGAUAAUAUGCCAUUUUUGACCUGCCAAAAAGUGAUUGCUGCCUAUUUCUUGUCAGUGAAACAAUAUUUCUGCUUCACAAUUGUUGGGUAUCAUCCAAAAGGAUCAUAUGUGGCACAUCAUAUCCCAAACAGUCUCUAAGAAAUGCAGAAUAACUUUUAAAGGAACAAUAAUACUCAUAAUGUGCCAUUUUCGACCUGCCAAAAAGUGAUUGUGGCCUAUAUCUUGUCACUCAAACAAUAUUUCUGCUUCAAACCUGUUGGAUAUAAUCCAAAAGGAUCAUCUGUGACACAUUAUAUCCCAGUCAGUCUCUAAGAAAUGCAGAAUAACUUUUAAAGGAACAAUAAUACCAAUAAUGUGCCAUUUUCAACCUGCCAAAAAGUGAUUGUGGCCUAUAUCUUGUCACUGAAACAAUAUUUCUGCUUCAAACCUGUUGGAUAUAAUCCAAAAGGAUCAUAUGUGACACAUUAUAUCCCAAUCAGUCUCUAAGAAAUGCAGAAUAACUUUUAAAGGAACAAUAAUACUCAUAAUGUGCCAUUUUUGACCUGCCAAAAAGUGAUUGUGGCCUAUAUCUUGUCACUCAAACAAUAUUUCUGCAUCAAACUUGUUGGGUAUCAUCCAAAAGGGUCAUAUGUGACACAUUAUAUCUCAAACAGUCUCAAAGGACUGUUGAAUAACUUUUAAAGGAUCAGUAAUACCCAUAAUAUGCCAUUUUCGACCUGCCAAAAAAUGAUUGUGGACCAUAACUUGUCACUGAAAUACUAUUUCUGCUUCAAACUUGGUGGAUGUCAUUCAGAAGGGUCAUAUGUCAAAUAUUACAUCUCAAACAGUCCCUCAGAACUGCUAAAUAACCAUUAAGGGAACAAUGAAACUGACAAUAUGCAAUUUUCAACCUGCCAAAAAGUGAUUGUGGCCUAUAUGUUGUCAGCGAAACAAUAUUUAUUAGGCACAGAAUGACACGACAUUUAUUUUUAAAAAUAAAAAUUAACGAUUUUUAGAUUGUAUACAUUGUCUUAUCUAAAUAUAAGGAGAAUUUCACGUUUUGUAAGGUUUUUAUUCAUUCUUUCAUAAAAUAUUUCUGAUGUUUUAGAAUAUUAUUUUUUCGUUUCCCUUUAAAAAAUGUUUUUCCGAUUUAAAUUUACUCAACAUCCUGUUGUUUUGCUUAGAGCUCAAUUGGUAGGCCUAAAGUGCUUCAAUUAGCAGAGUGCAAGCAAAGCGUUACAGAGUCAUGGACCCCACUCUUUAUGCCGAUAUUCUCUCGUUUAAAACCAAUGGAACCUUGCCCAGUGGGUUUUCCACCACACAAAAGUCUAAUUUUCGUCGAAAGGCAAAGAACUUUGAGGUUCAAGGUGAGUUUGUCGAAUGUUUUAUGUAAUUUUCAACCUUCCACUGUUUGCCAAAUUUGAGUUUAAUUAACAGCUGCGCACAACAGCGAACAAAAGUAGGGCAUCCUAGUUACGUCUCUUGAGGAAUACAUAAUAUUUCUCCUAAAACAUGUGUGUGUUCUAAUUCCCAAGUGACCAACAUCAUCGCUAUCACCGCCAUUACUAGGUGUGACGGUGUUGUAACUAGUACUGGCUAGCGUUAGAAGUUCGUAGUGUUUACAACUUAAUUCUGUUUGAAAAAUUAAAAUGGGGAUUUUGUUUAUGACACCAACAACAUAUUAUUGCUGUCUUGUAAUUUUUCUAAAAUGAAAAACAUAAUUUGACAAAAGGGGAAAAUUUAGAAAAAAAAAAGGAAUUUAUAUCGUGAGGUCACGUGUUCUGUUCGCGUGUUGUUGUUGUUUUAAUUUUGCUGUGCUAAUACUAUCCGUGUCAAUAAUACAUCUGUCGCUGUCCCUUAAUGAGGUUUUUAUUUUAAAAAAAUAUCCCUGCUUUAGAUUUUUAAAUGCGUGCACUGACUCAUAACUGUAAUUCAUAAUGAACUAUGGUGUGUUGUUCAGGAAAUAUUUAUAAUUAACCAUUAACUCUUUGGUGUGGUACAUCGAUAUUUUUGAAAUAAUUCUAUUUACACAUACACAUCAUAUGUUUUUGACCAUGUUACAGUACUGUAAUAAUUCCACAUUUAUGACUAUAUUAUAGCAGAUUAAAACUACUCAUGGAUUUCUUUUAUUUCUUACAGAUGGCGAGUUGUACUACAUAAGGUACAAAGGCACAAAUCAAUGCAUUAAGGCAAAAGUGCUGUGUGGGCCCAACAAAGCCAAUGAAGUUUUUCUAGACUUUCAUGCCAGCAGUGGUGGUUCACACUGUGGCCAGAAAAAAACAAGAGAGGCAAUCUCAAAAAGAUUUUAUUGGCCUGGAAUGUCAGAGGACAUUAAUUUAUGGGUCUGUAUACAACUUGAUUAUACAUGCACAUUGUUUAUCUCGCAAAAUGUCUUUUAUUGUCUUAAAUUUCAAGUUAACCAAUGUACUAGUUAGCUGUCUAUUUAGUAUAGGUUUUGUAUCAGAAAACAAUUAAAAGUCUUUUUAUUGAGAGUUAUAUGAUUUAAAUUAUUAUAC